AAUUGGACAUGGGCGCAGNCCGAUCCAUUCAUGCCGCGUGAGUGAAGAAGGCCUUCGGGUUGUAAAGCUCUUUCGGCAGGAACGAAAUGGUUCGUGCUAAUACCGCGGACUGAUGACGGUACCUGAAGAAGAAGCACCGGCUAACUACGUGCCAGCAGCCGCGGUAAUACGUAGGGUGCAGGCGUUAAUCGGAAUUACUGGGCGUAAAGCGUGCGCAGGCGGUUUCUUAAGUCAGAUGUGAAAGCCCCGGGCUUAACCUGGGAACUGCGUUUGAAACUGGGAGACUUGAGUGUGGCAGAGGGGGGUGGAAUUCCACGUGUAGCAGUGAAAUGCGUAGAUAUGUGGAGGAACACCGAUGGCGAAGGCAGCCCCCUGGGCUAACACUGACGCUCAUGCACGAAAGCGUGGGGAGCAAACAGGAUUAGAUACCCUGGUAGUCCACGCCCUAAACUAUGUCAACUGGUUGUCGGGGGAUUAACUCCCUUGGUAACGAAGCUAACGCGUGAAGUUGACCGCCUGGGGAGUACGGCCGCAAGGUUAAAACUCAAAGGAAUUGACGGGGACCCGCACAAGCGGUGGAUUAUGUGGAUUAAUUCGAUGCAACGCGAAAAACCUUUACUACCCUUUGACUGUCCGGAAUCCUUCGAGAUGGAGGGUGCCGAAAGGAGCGUAC
rnacentral:rRNA from 1 species